AUUGAACGCUGGCGGCAUGCUUUACACAUGCAAGUCGAACGGCAGCGGGGAGGAGCUUGCUUCUCUGCCGGCGAGUGGCGAACGGGUGAGUAAUACAUCGGAACGUGUCCAGAAGAGGGGGAUAACCACCCGAAAGGGUGGCUAAUACCGCAUAAACUCCGAGGGAGUAAGCUGGGGACCUGGUAAUAGGCCUCGCGCUUUUUGAGCGGCCGAUGGCGGAUUAGCUAGUUGGGGGGGUAAAGGCUCACACAGGCGAAGAUACGUAGCGGGUACGAGAGGAGGAUAAGACAAAAUGGGAGUGAGAGAAGGUAGAGACUCAUACGGGAGGAGGCAGGGGGGAAGAUUGGAGAAUGGGUGCAAGCUUGAUCUAGCCAUAACGAGUGGGUGAAGAAGGCCUUAGGGUUGUAAAGCACGUUUGUUGGGAAAGAAAAGCAGCAGGUUAAUAACCCGCUGUUCGGACGGGACCCAAAGAAUAAGAACCGGCUAACUUCGUG
rnacentral:rRNA from 1 species